CCCCCCCUGAAACGUAGUCCCGCGGCAUUUCCCAACGUAAGAGAUCGUUGGAGACCGCCGUGCUUGGCAAGAUCUUGCUUCGAACAUAGCUGAUGAAUCCCAUCUCUGAGAAGAACUGUCUUCUAAAUUCUUGGAAGGAAAAUACAAUUAGUGAAUAGUUAGCUGAAGGAGAAACUUUGGUUAACAAGCAGGCGAUGAAUUGAGUUAAAAACUGUUAUGUUAGGAUUUAGGCACAUUUAUCAAUCAUAUUUCGAUGUUAAAAAAUGAGGCGAUUUACUUUUACCUCAACACUUUGCAUCUACAUUAGUCGCCUUGUUUGGCACACUCAAACCCUUUUGAUAUCAGAGUUAGCGGAAAGAUAAAAGCUAUGCAUAGUACUCACCAAAGAGAAGGAUUUUGGCUGAAGAAACUUCCGAGCUACCAAGAGAAAUUGCAAAUGGUGAGGUCUAUUUGUGAGUUAUUGAUAAUUUAAGUUGUUGAGUGGUAGGGUUAUUACCUAGUCAUGGAUUGGCAACAUCGGGUAACAGAGUGGACAAAGCGAGCUUUAUGGUCCCUGAGAGCUUUACUUAAUGGAAGGAGGAGUGUGACAUGCCACUGGCGAACGGAUUCAUAUCAAGGUAAGAGAUUGGAAUUGCAAACUUUUCUUCCCAUACUCUUUCAGUAUCAACGGCGGAAUUAGAAAAACAUAAACUAAAGUUGGUGCACCAUCAUGGAACUGGACCCUUCAUCCAAUCCUUGCACAAUGGGUCAUUUGUCAUCUAUCACUAAAGUAGAAAACUAUUAUCACAAUGCUUUUAACUGCUAUUAAUAAUUCUCACAUGAAAGGGAUAAAGUAGAUAA